CAGCGCACAGGGGCUGACUCCUCCGUAGAUGGAAGAGGGCCAAACCCAGGAAGCCUUGAGUGGAGUGGAAAGAGGUCUAGGCUGGAGAUUGGGGUUUCAGUCCUGUUCUGCCACGGACUUCCUUCCCUCUAAUUACAUGGAGCGUCCCCCAGUGGUGUGAGGUCUGGGAGAAGACUGGAAAUGGAAUCAGAUGGACAACACAUCAACUUCUUCUGAUUCUGCAAUUAUGGUUUAUGGGCAGCAUCAUUUAAAAGGUUAACAAUCAGAUCAAACAAGUUAACAAUACGAACGUGCGCCUAAACACCCGGUAGCCGUGAAUGGAUGUUGGCUUCCUGUCUUUGCAGUUAGGUCACUGGAGUUUUCUUCCCGGUUCACAGACGAGAAGGCAGAGGCUCAGGGAACGUCAAGGUCACAUUGCCACUGAAGGAGGAGUAGGGGGAAAGUCUUCCCAGAGAGAGAUCCCAACAGCAGGUUAGGUGCCUCCGUGGGAGGUCUUUGCGGACUGAAUAAUGGAGAUGAGGAAGCUGCCUCGGACCCAUGUAACUGGUUUGAGUCAUCCAGUCAUUCAUUAAUUCACUGAAGCUCUGCUGCCUUUGGGAAUUUACUGGUGACGGCAGAAACCAACACAACAUCGUAAAGCCAUUAUCCUCUGAUUAAAAAUAAGUUAAAAAAAAAAAAAAGGAUCCAUCUGCCAACGCAAGGGACGCUGGUUCUAUCCCUGAUGGGGGAUGAUCCCACAUGCCUCAGAACCGCUAAGCCCUUGCGCUGCAACUAGGGAGCCGGAACUCUCGAGCCCCCGAGCUGCAGCUCCUGGAGCCUGAGUGCCCUAGGGCCCCUGGUCCUCAGCAAGAGAAACCACCACAAGGAGAAGCCCGAACACCGCAACUAGAGGGUCGCCACCGCACCCCCAACCCCGCUCACAGCAGCUAGAGAAAGCCUGCAUGCAGCACGGAAGAACCCGUGCAGCCAAAGAUAAAUGACUAAGUAAAGUUUAAAAAAGAAGAGAAAAAGAAAAAGAUUGGAACUGCUGGUUAGACUUGUGCAGCCCACCUGGGAUCUUGAUGUCAGGGCGGUGGGAGAAGGAGGGGCUCUGGGUCAUGUCAGUACUUGGAGAGCUUAAAAUCAGGACGGUCUAGAGGGUGACGAGAUAAACUUCCAGUUAGAGUCUGGAAGCAGGGAAAUGAAGUUUAGAGAUGCAUUUGGUUGUUAGUCGCUCAGUCGUGUCUGACCCUUUGUGACCCCAUGAACUGUAGCCUUGCCAGUCUCCUCUGUCCAUGGGAUUUCACAGGCAAAACUACUGGUGUGGGUUGCCAUUUCCUUCUCUAGGGGAUCUUCGUGUUUGGUUAGUAGAGGCUAUUUUUUAAUUUGAAUUUAAAUGCCUUUAGGUGGGGAUCCCAUUCCCAACUUCCUGGGUCUUCACCUCUCCUUAUUGGCCCCAUCAGAUUGAUGUAUUUACAUGACCGGCCAUGUGCCCAGCCCUGUGGCUAACAGAAUUUUCCACCCGAACAGGGGAUGUCUCUAAGUUUUGAGAGUCUUAUUAAUUCAAGUAGAAACAAACCAAAGGCAGAUUUGCAGAAUCUAGUAUAGUUUUAAACCUUGAACUUUUCUCUGAUUCUCACCGGAAUGAGAAUAAUGCCAGUCUUUACUGGUGAUCUUCAUUCACGACAGUGAUAAUUGGUGGUAAAUAAUAGUGAAUAAGUUGGCAUUCGUUUCCACUCACUCCUCAUGUUUAUUGAGAGCUGCUCUGUGUUAGCACUUUUCUAGGUCUCGGGAAUACAACAGCGAAGAAAACGGACAUAAAUGGAACUUGAAUUCCAGUGUGGGUGGAGGGAGACAGACAAUAGAGGAGAUACAUCGUUGUAUUAGCUGGCGAUAAGUACUACAGAGAAAAACUGGGAAAGAAGGGCUCCCAACCUUCCUCCGUCUGCAACACCUGUGACCUGCAACACCUCCGUCUGCAACACCUGUUAGGAUGUGAGGAAAUGUGAGGCACAGUGUAUGAAAGCUGCAAAAGGAAGAAACCAGCUGGUCUCAGUUUGCAGCAUUCGGGAUCCUGGGCUGCGACCUGUGAACUCUGAGUGGCUGCCUGUGGGAUCUAACUCCCUGAGCAGGAAUUGAACCCGGCUCCCCUGCGUGGGGAGCGCAGAGUCUUAGCCGCGGGACCACCAGGCAAGUGUAGA